CUGCACUUCGCUUAGAGCCUCUGGGUCCUGGCCACUCACUCACUGGUCCAGGAUCCAAAAUAACUCACCAGACACAAAUUUCCAACUAAAAAUCCCCCUGAAUGUCUCCCAGGGAAGAAAUAUAGCUCCUAUAAUUAAAGGAGGCCACCGCCGAGGGGGAAAGCAGCCUGCAGCCAAAAUCAAAGAAAUAACUUGAAUCCAUGUGACAAUGAAGAAGGAAGAGGACAUGAAUUCAAACAGCUGACACAGUGAUCAGCAGCAGCUGACAGCAUCGCAUUUGAUAUCUGAUAUCAAGCACGAGAUCAAUAUUUGUUUCCUUUUGAGGAGUUCACACCCAGAGGACUCUCAGGCCUUCAGUCCAGAUGGAAACUCCUGGGGAGGGCGGCAGAGGUAUGAGCUUCAUCUCAGUAGGAUCUAUACAAAGGCGACAACUGCACUGGGGAGGGAUCCCGAAGGGCAGAGGUGUGAUUUCUCAGAUGACGAGAACCAGAAAACAGCUUUCAUUCAUAAUUCAACAUUAGUUUAAAACUUGGGGGAAGGAAUUUGCUUUUCACUGAAAUAAUAGCAACAUUUUAGGAAAUUUCUGACAACUGUAAAGGCCUCUCAAUCUUCAGAAAGAAUAAGAUACUUGAGACUAAGCCAUUCUUAGCUUCCCCCAAGUGCUUCCCUCUUCUUGAUUCUAGCAGGUUGUCUAAAGAAACUUUACAUGAAGUUCACAUUCCUGUGGUUUUACAGAAGUGUAUUUCCCACCUUAUGCUCUGUAAGAAACUAAGUAGAGGAAGAAUUUUCCAGAAUCAUAAUGACCCCAUAAACAACAAUAACAACAACAAUCCAUGGUUUGCAUGCGUCUCUAUGCUCUUUUGUAUUCAAAAUUGGCUGAGUGCCUACAAAACUAAAAACAUUAGCAGUUUAAAUCAAUUUUCUUUAAUGAAAUAAAGCCAACC